rnacentral:hammerhead_ribozyme from 1 species
AUCCAACUGACGAGUCACAAAUAGGAUGAAACGCAUGUCCUGGAA